GCCUUAGAUGUUCUGGGCCGCACGCGCGCUACAAUGAUGAAUUCAACGAGUUUAUAACCUUGGUUGAAAAGCCUGGGUAAUCUUUUGAACUUUCGUCGUGAUGGGGCUAGACCCUUGCAAUUAUUGGUCUCCAACGAGGAAUUCCUAGUAAACGCAAGUCAUCAGCUUGCAUUGAUUACGUCCCUGCCCUUUGUACACACCGCCCGUCGCACCUACCGAUUGAAUGGUCCGGUGAAAUCUUCGGAUUGAGACUUUGAUUUCUUCACGGAAAACGCUGUUUUAAAAAGUUGAUUAAACCUUACCAUUUAGAGGAAGGUGAAGUCGUAACA
rnacentral:rRNA from 1 species